rnacentral:tRNA from 1 species
CCGGGUGUAGCGCAGUUGGUAGCGCGCCAGCUUUGGGAGCUGGAUGUCGUGCGUUCGAGUCGCACCACUCGGACCA